AUGCAGUCGAGCGGUAGAGAGGUGCUUGCACCUCUUGAGAGCGGCGGACGGGUGAGUAAAGCCUAGGAAUCUGCCUGGUAGUGGGGGAUAACGCUCGGAAACGGACGCUAAUACCGCAUACGUCCUACGGGAGAAAGCAGGGGACCUUCGGGCCUUGCGCUAUCAGAUGAGCCUAGGUCGGAUUAGCUAGUUGGUGAGGUAAUGGCUCACCAAGGCGACGAUCCGUAACUGGUCUGAGAGGAUGAUCAGUCACACUGGAACUGAGACACGGUCCAGACUCCUACGGGAGGCAGCAGUGGGGAAUAUUGGACAAUGGGCGAGAGCCUGAUCCAGCCAUGCCGCGUGUGUGAAGAAGGUCUUCGGAUUGUAAAGCACUUUAAGUUGGGAGGAAGGGCAUUAACCUAAUACGUUAGUGUUUUGACGUUACCGACAGAAUAAGCACCGGCUAACUCUGUGCCAGCAGCCGCGGUAAUACAGAAGGUGCAAGCGUUAAUCGGAAUUACUGGGCGUAAAGCGCGCGUAGG
rnacentral:rRNA from 1 species